rnacentral:lncRNA from 1 species
GUAAAGGAUGCUGACCUUUCCAACUUGCAGUUCUGGAGAACUAGUGUAAUCCAGGCUAUCAAGUCCCAGCGGCAGGUGGAGGCACACUCCUAGACGCUCACACCCCGCGCGCCGCACCCCCGGGGCUCACCGGGCUUCGACCGGACAGCGAGAAUGUAGCAUGACUGGAGAAGCGCGCGGUGCCCAGGCGGGGGGCGCGGUCUGUAACCGUGGUCGCUGGAGGCGGACUAGGCGUGCCGGGUGCAGGGGACACACCAGUCGCCAAGCCCAGCGCCUCCACCUGGCGGGUCAAGCGUUCGAGCUGCGCCUGCAACCUCUGGUUGUCCCGCUGCAGCUCGGCCACAGUGCGAGCCAAGGGGCCAGCCAGGCGCAGCGCCUCGGCCACGCGCCGCUCCACGCCGCGCUGCAGCCCCUGCAUGUCCUCGUGCAGCGCACGCACGGCACCCUCCAGCGCCGCUUCAUAGCGGCCCAGCGCCUCGCGCACCGUGUGCGCCUCCUCGGCGUCGGGGGUUGGCUCCAUGGCGGAGCAGAGCGCACAGAUCGGACAGCCGGCAGAACACGGGAGACGAGAGACCUACAGCUUCUUGCAAGGACUGGCCGGCCGUGGCUGGCUGAGCCUGAGGGGCGGCCGGAGGGGCGGGAGCAGGGCGGGGCAGACCCCUAGAGCCCCAGGACUGGGCGCCGCGUGGGGAGGCGGGGCCGAGGGGGCGG